GAGGGGAUAGCUCAGUGACAGAGUGCAUGCUUAGCAUGCAUGAGGUCCUAGGUGCAAUCCCUAGUACCUCUA
rnacentral:tRNA from 1 species